GAAGCUAUAGGUUAAAUAAGGAUAAAACCAUUGGCCUUCAAAGCCGAAAAUGAGCACAUCUAGCUUUG
rnacentral:tRNA from 1 species